rnacentral:rRNA from 1 species
AAACUUAAAUGAAUUGACGGGGCCCGCACAAGCGGAGGAACAUGUGGUUAAUUCGAUGAUACGCGAGGAACCUUACCUGGGCUUAAAUGCAGAGUGCAUGGAGUGGAAACACUUCUUCCCUUCGGGGCUCUUUGCAAGGUGCUGCAUGGUUGUCGUCAGCUCGUGCCGUGAGGUGUCGGGUUAAGUCCCAUAACGAGCGCAACCCUUAUCGUUAGUUGCCAGCGGGUAAAGCCGGGAACUCUAGCGAAACUGCCGGUGUAAACCGAGAGGAAGGUGGGAUGACGUCAAAUCAGCACGGCCCUUAUGUCCAGGGCUACACACGUGUUACAAUGGCCGGUACAGAGGGCAGCUACCUGGAGACAGGAUGCGAAUCUCGAAAGCCGGUCUCAGUUCGGAUCGGAGUCUGCAACUCGACUCCGUGAAGCUGGAUUCGCUAGUAAUCGCGCAUCAGCCAUGGCGCGGUGAAUACGUUCCCGGGCCUU